AGCAGAGCAGUCACAUCAGGAGCGCCCGGAAGCUGGUCCCGAAGUGCCACCUACUUCGACUGUGCCGCCAAGGGAGGAGUCCCCGGCAAGGGAGCGCUCUCCGGCAAGGGGGAACUCUCCGGCAAGGGACGGCACCGUUGAUCCUGCGGCGACCGAGGCCGCAACUGCAGAUCUUGGCACAGGUAAUCCACUUGCCCAGAAACUUUCCCUUGGGUUCUUCUUCUUCUGAUUUUCUUCCCUUGGAUUUUGGAUUGAUUUUUCUCCCUUCUUCGUUCUUCAGACCCAUCUGCGGCUGAGCCAAUGGAGACAGAGGGCGCCGGCG
rnacentral:lncRNA from 1 species